rnacentral:rRNA from 2 species
GGGCAAGUAAGGGCCUUUGUCAUGCGGUGAGUAGAUCUGCAUGCUCAAGCGAAUUGGAGGGCCGGAGCUUGCUCCCUGAAAUUAGCGGCGGACGGCCAUAACACGUGGGCAACCUACCUAGUAAGCCUGGGAUAACUUCGGGAAACCGGAGCUAAUACCGGAUAAUUUCUUUCUUCACAUGGAGAGAGGUUGAAAGACGGCUUUGCUGUCACUUACAGAUGGGCCCGCGGCGCAUUAGCUAGUUGGUGAGGUAACGGCUCACCAAGGCCACGAUGCGUAGCCGACCUGAGAGGGUGAUCGGCCACACUGGGACUGAGACACGGCCCAGACUCCUACGGGAGGCAGCAGUAGGGAAUCUUCCGCAAUGGACGAAAGUCUGACGGAGCAACGCCGCGUGAGUGAAGAAGGUCUUCGGAUCGUAAAACUCUGUUAUCAGGGAAGAACAAGUACCGGAGUUACUGCCGGUACCUUGACGGUACCUGACCAGAAAGCCACGGCUAACUACGUGCCAGCAGCCGCGGUAAUACGUAGGUGGCAAGCGUUGUCCGGAAUUAUUGGGCGUAAAGCGCGCGCAGGCGUUCUUUAAGUCUGAUGUGAAAUCUUGCGGCUCAACCGUGAGCGGUCAUUGGAAACUGGAGAACGUUGAGUGCAGAAGAGAACUGAGCGGAAUUCCACGUGUAGUGCGGUGAAAUGCGUAGAGAUGUGGAGGAACACCAGUGGCGAAGGCGGCUCUUUGGUCUGCUAACUGACUGCUGAGGCGCGAAAGCGUGGGGAGCGAACAGGAUAGAUACCCUGGUAGUCCACGCCAUGUAAACGAUGAGAUUGCUAAGUGUUAGCUAGGGUUUCCCGAAGCCCCUUUAGUGCUGCAAGCAAAACGCCAUUAAAGCACCUCCCCGCCCUGGGGGGGAGUACGGCCGG